GACGAACCGUGCGAACGUUAUUCGGAAUCAUUGGGCUUAAAGGGCGCGUAGGCGGGCGACCGCGUCGAGUGCUGAAAGCCCCCGGCUCAACCGGGGAACGGGCCUCGAUACGGGUCGCCUCGAGGCGAGGAGGGGGACCUGGAACUUCCGGUGGAGCGGUGAAAUGCGUUGAGAUCGGAAGGAACGCCGACGGCGAAAGCGAGGUCCUGGACUCGUCCUGACGCUGAGGCGCGAAAGCCAGGGGAGCGAACGGA
rnacentral:rRNA from 1 species